AUGCACCGUGGCCCGCCUCCCAUGGCGCACCCCCGCCCCGAACCCAUCGACCGUGAGAAGACCUGCCCCCUCCUGCUCCGGGUUUUCACCAAGGUUGGUGGCCAUCACCUAAAUGAAGAAUUUUCUGAGAGAGGGAAGGAGCCAAAAGAUGAAGUUCAGAUUUACACAUGGAAGGAUGCCACACUCCAGGAGCUCAUUGUAGUUAAAAUUGUUUUUGCGGGGAGCAAAUCUGUAUAUGCAAAGUGUGUGUGUGUGUAUCCAGUGAGCAAAUCUGUAGUAAUUAUAGAGAGCAAGACUAAGGCACACUGUUCAUUUGAGGCAUAUGACACUUCCAUGAUGAUAAUUAUGACAAAAACACAUAUCAUCAUAGAUGCGGUGGGCUCCUACUUAUAUGACAAAACAUUAUGA
rnacentral:rRNA from 1 species